CAUCUUACCAAGAAAAGAUUGUAUAUGUAUUGCAUAAUUCAAUCUCAGAAAACCACACAUCAUAAUCAGUUGUCUUCAAGACUUCAAGUACUUAAUAUACAAAGUUAAAAUUCGCAGAAAAGUUACUUGCUUUACUUCAAACCGAAGCCAUGCUGAUAUUGGGGCUUUUUGAUGGAGAUAAGGCCAAGAAAAUGAGAAUCGCCAUUAUUAACACAGGAACCGGGAGAAAUAUCAAUGGCGGCGGUGGCAACUCUGGUAUCAACAAAGGCAAAACUAAAAGCAACAUAGUCAGCACAACCAUAAAAACGAAUGAUCUCUUGCUAAAAUACCCGAACAUCAAAUUCUUCACCACGUAAUAAUCUUCUCUUCCGAUGGAAUUUGCGAUAAUAAUCCAAGACUGUACGUCCUAAUCAUGUUCGUAUCUCCGUCCACCCAUUGUCAGUUUUCAUAUACGUAGCAACCUUACUCACUCAGCUAGCUAAGAAUAUAGUUUGUCUGUACCUUGUAGCGAGGAUUUUAUGUAGGGAACAAUCAGGGGAAGAGUUUCAGAGUAAACAUGUAGCUUAAACAAAUGAGGGAGAAGACCACGAAAGGGUAAGAUGACUGUUGAGUAACAAUUCAUCCCAG
rnacentral:lncRNA from 1 species